UAUACGCCAACUGGAGAGAGGCUGCCGCGCGCAGCCCACCGAAGGGGCAAGCAGCCAGGCGCUGCGCAAACUCUCAGGUACGCAGGACAGAGGGAGAGGC
rnacentral:ncRNA from 2 species